CCCACAGAGCCCAUUACUCCUGCUAAACAGGUGUGCCAAAGCAUCCAAAGCUAAAGAAAGAAACAGUUGCGAGCGAGUUGAACCGGAGGGCAGUCCUAAAGCAAUAUCCAGAGGAAUUCUGAAUUCGCUACAAAGAAAAUAUUGAAUCUACAACUCCAUCUUACCAUGCUGGCGGAAUAUGAUAAG